GGUGCUUUCGUUGUUUCCCCGUAGCGGGACGCGAUGUCGGCGUUUCUCCAUGCUGCUGAGAGCCUGCAAGGUCCCCUCUGGGCCUCCCAGCUUAUUUUAGUUCAGGAGCCCCUGAGGCCUAGCGUGCCGGUUACAGGAGCUCCUAGAAGCGGCUCGCCGGCUCCUGGCCUUUUCCGGGGCGAAGGGCCCCUCAGGGAGACCGUUGGACCGAGGUCUAGCGCUGCGUGCGCUCUCCCAGCGCCCGGGAGCGCGACUCCUCGUUCCCUGGGGCUGGAGAAGCCGAUGUUUCACCCGUCCAGACUAAGGGGUUGUUUGUCAUCCAGAAUUCUACAGUUUGUUGUCCUUAGGUGGAGUCUCCUGAUUUGGCCGCACGAGGGCUCUGCUACACCUGAGGUCUCCUCUGUUGCCUACACCUGGGAUCUCCUCUAUUGGCCACACCUGCAUCUCCAGAAAUGGAUUCUUUUGUGAUUUGUAUUUAAUGAACAUGCCAACUUGCAAGAUUAAUCAUGAAAAUUUUGAUUUAGAAGAGACCCUUUGUUUGGAAUAUGUUUGCCCUAGAUGUCUUCAUGGCUUGUUCCCCAUCAA